GGUCUCUAGCUGCUGUUGAACUACAACUCCCACCAUCCUUUGCUAGCAGGUCAGGAAUGAUGGGAGUUGCAGUCCAACAACAGCUGGAGAUCCAAA